AGAGCACCUGAGGUUUGUAGGCUGAGUUCAUACAAGCAGCAAAACUGGGUAUCGAACAGACAAGACAACAGCUGCUGCCUGUGUGAAUGUAAAAAAGGAGGUGAACACAUGCGUUACAUUUGCAUGUCUUUCAGCCAAGCACUCCUGGUUGAAUACUUGAUUCACAGGAGGGGAAGCAGUAGUGUGCUAACCAUAAUUCAACAGGACUUGGAGGAAUACUUCAGGCCUCUUGGAGCCACUGAAUCACUUUCAUUUGCUUCAUAGGGUGCUCUGCAGCUUGCAGCCUAAUAUGUCUGGUCUCCUUGGUGGAAUGGAGACGGCUGAUUUCCUACAGCUCACUGGGUAUGGUGUGGUUGGCCAGGAGCGUGCUGCGAGGCCCUGACAGCAAGACAGUGCUGGACCAAAGCUGCAGGAAGCUGAUUUCCGGACCAGUUUACGGAGGAGCAGCAGAGGGAAGGAGAGGGAUCCUGGUAGAUGUUCUCCACACAGAUGCUAGGAAGCAGAUCACUGGAGUCCAGAACUCAGAGAACAAGUCACUAGUCAGAACUUUGAGGAGAAAGGAAAGCAAAGAGAUGAGCCUGAUUACCCCUAAUGUGAGCAAAACAAUCUUCCAUCUGUUUCAGCUUCUCUUUAAGCUCUUCUUGAUGAGCCUUAAUGAGCCGAGCUGCGAAUCCUGCACCUGUCGGUCGCACCCUGGAAUACGAAGGAGGAUGUGGAAAAAUCACCAAACAACCUGCACACAGCUCUGUGGAUGUGAUGUGACAUUACAUUACCAUAAAAUGAGACAAUACAGUUCAUAUCCUCUUUUAUGUUAAGAAGUCUUAACAUUAAUGAUCUAAUAUUUGUGAGUGACAAUUACUUCAAUAAGAUUUAGAAACUAGACUGCACCUAAACUUUUUUUGAUUCAUAUUGCUUUUGUCUUUUUCUUUUAUGUUGAAGGUAGGAUAAAAUAAAUUUUUAAAAGCAGACUUCUGAAAAGGAUUUCCAGGUUUUACAUCAUGAUCACAUGCUAAUACCAACUUCUGCGAGCCAGAAAGCUGGACCUACAUCAAACCAUGAGAAGUGAUGCUCAGACCAA